AGCGAACGCUGGCGGCAGGCUUAACACAUGCAAGUCGAGCGGACCUUUCGGGGUCAGCGGCGGACGGGUGAGUAACGCGUGGGAACGUGCCUUCCGGUUCGGAAUAACUCUGGGAAACUAGGGCUAAUACCGGAUACGCCCUUAUGGGGAAAGGUUUACUGCCGGAAGAUCGGCCCGCGUCUGAUUCGCUAGUUGGUGGGGUAACGGCCUACCAAGGCGACGAUCAGUAGCUGGUCUGAGAGGAUGCUCAGCCACACUGGGACUGAGACACGGCCCAGACUCCUACGGGAGGCAGCAGUGGGGAAUAGUGGACAAUGGGCGCAAGCCUGAUCCAGCCAUGCCGCGUGAGUGAUGAAGGCCUUAGGGUUGUAAAGCUCUUUUAUCCGGGACGAUAAUGACGGUACCGGAGGAAUAAGCCCCGGCUAACUUCGUG
rnacentral:rRNA from 1 species